AGUGAACGCUGGCGGUAGGCCUAACACAUGCAAGUCGAACGGCAGCACAGUAAGAGCUUGCUCUUACGGGUGGCGAGUGGCGGACGUGUGAGGAAUACAUCGGAAUCUACUUUUUCGUGGGGGAUAACGUAGGGAAACUUACGCUAAUACCGCAUACGACCUACGGGUGAAAGCAGGGGAUCUUCGGACCUUGCGCGAUUGAAUGAGCCGAUGUCGGAUUAGCUAGUUGGCGGGGUAAAGGCCCACCAAGGCGACGAUCCGUAGCUGGUCUGAGAGGAUGAUCAGCCACAAUGGAACUGAGACACGGUCCAGACUCCUACGGGAGGCAGCAGUGGGGAAUAUUGGACAAUGGGCGCAAGCCUGAUCCAGCCAUACCGCGUGGGUGAAGAAGGCCGUCGGGUUGUAAAGCCCUUUUGUUGGGAAAGAAAAGCAGCAGGUUAAUACCCCGCUGUUCUGACGGUACCCAAAGAAUAAGCACCGGCUAACUUCG
rnacentral:rRNA from 1 species